GAUGAACGCUGGCGGCGUGCCUAAUACAUGCAAGUCGAGCGAACAGACGAGGAGCUUGCUCCUCUGACGUUAGCGGCGGACGGGUGAGUAACACGUGGAUAACCUACCUAUAAGACUGGGAUAACUUCGGGAAACCGGAGCUAAUACCGGAUAAUAUAUUGAACCGCAUGGUUCAAUAGUGAAAGACGGUUUUGCUGUCACUUAUAGAUGGAUCCGCGCCGCAUUAGCUAGUUGGUAAGGUAACGGCUUACCAAGGCAACGAUGCGUAGCCGACCUGAGAGGGUGAUCGGCCACACUGGAACUGAGACACGGUCCAGACUCCUACGGGAGGCAGCAGUAGGGAAUCUUCCGCAAUGGGCGAAAGCCAGACGGAGCAACGCCGCGUGAGAGAUGAAGGUCUUCGGAUCGUAAAACUCUGUUAUUAGGGAAGAACAAAUGUGUAAGUAACUAUGCACGUCUUGACGGUACCUAAUCAGAAAGCCACGGCUAACUACGUG
rnacentral:rRNA from 1 species